AGAACGAACGCUGGCGGCAUGCCUAAUACAUGCAAGUCGAACGAACUCUUCGGAGUUAGUGGCGCACGGGUGCGUAACGCGUGGGAAUCUGCCCCUUGGUUCGGAAUAACAGUUGGAAACGACUGCUAAUACCGGAUGAUAACGAAAGUCCAAAGAUUUAUCGCCAAGGGAUGAGCCCGCGUAGGAUUAGCUAGUUGGUGAGGUAAAGGCUCACCAAGGCAACGAUCCUUAGCUGGUCUGAGAGGACGACCAGCCACACUGGGACUGAGACACGGCCCAGACUCCUACGGGAGGCAGCAGUGGGAAUUUGGACAAUGGCGAAAGCCUGAUCCAGCCAUG
rnacentral:rRNA from 1 species